rnacentral:rRNA from 1 species
UACGGGGGGGCAAGCGUUGUUCGGAAUUACUGGGCGUAAAGGGCUCGUAGGCGGCCAACUAAGUCGGACGUGAAAUCCCUCGGCUUAACCGGGGAACUGCGUCCGAUACUGGAUGGCUUGAGUUUGGGAGAGGGAUGCGGAAUUCCAGGUGUAGCGGUGAAAUGCGUAGAUAUCUGGAGGAACACCGGUGGCGAAGGCGGCAUCCUGGACCAACACUGACGCUGAGGAGCGAAAGCCAGGGGAGCAACGGG